rnacentral:rRNA from 1 species
UAAGGAAUAUUGGUCAAUGGGCGGAAGCCUGAACCAGCCAUGCCGCGUGCAGGAUGACUGCCCUAUGGGUUGUAAACUGCUUUUGUCCAGGAAUAAACCUAAAUACGUGUAUUUAGCUGAAUGUACUGGAAGAAUAAGGAUCGGCUAACUCCGUGCCAGCAGCCGCGGUAAUACGGAGGAUCCGAGCGUUAUCCGGAUUUAUUGGGUUUAAAGGGUGCGUAGGCGGCCUAUUAAGUCAGGGGUGAAAUACGGUGGCUCAACCAUCGCAGUGCCUUUGAUACUGAUGGGCUUGAAUCCAUUUGAAGUGGGCGGAAUAAGACAAGUAGCGGUGAAAUGCAUAGAUAUGUCUUAGAACUCCGAUUGCGAAGGCAGCUCACUAAGCUGGUAUUGACGCUGAUGC